rnacentral:rRNA from 1 species
CCCUUAGAUGUUCUGGGCCGCACGCGCGCUACAAUGGUCUUCGCAAACGGAUGCAUUCUCGAAGGAGAAUGCCAAUCUUGGAAUCUAUGCCUUGGUCGGGACAGUUGCUUGCAAUUUUUCGACUCGAACCAGGAAUUCCUUGUAAUCGUGAUUCAUCACAUCACGAUGAAUACGUCCCUGCCCUUUGUACACACCUCCCGUCGCUCCUACCGAUCGAAGAGUUAGGUGAAUUGUUUUGAUCGAUAAGAUUUGACUAUGGUCAACUCUCGUUGUGAAAUUCUGUGAAUCUGACUGUUUAGAGGAAGGAAAAGUCGUAACA